rnacentral:rRNA from 1 species
AGAGUUUGAUCCUGGCUCAGGAUGAACGCUAGCGACAGGCUUAACACAUGCAAGUCGAGGGGCAUCACGGGAGUAGCAAUACAACUGGUGGCGACCGGCGCACGGGUGAGUAACGCGUAUGCAACCUACCUAUCAGAGGGGAAUAACCCGGCGAAAGUCGGACUAAUACCGCAUAAAACAGGGGCACCGCAUGGUGAUAUUUGUUAAAGAAAUUCGCUGAUAGAUGGGCAUGCGUUCCAUUAGGUAGUUGGUGAGGUAACGGCUCACCAAGCCGACGAUGGAUAGGGGAACUGAGAGGUUGGUCCCCCACACUGGUACUGAGACACGGACCAGACUCCUACGGGAGGCAGCAGUGAGGAAUAUUGGUCAAUGGGCGGGAGCCUGAACCAGCCAAGUCGCGUGAAGGAAGAAGGAUCUAUGGUUCGUAAACUUCUUUUGCAGGGGAAUAAAGUGCGGGACGUGUCUGUUUUGUAUGUACCUGAGAAUAAGGAUCGGCUAACUCCGUGCCAGCAGCCGCGGUAAUACGGAGGAUCCGAGCGUUAUCCGGAUUUAUUGGGUUUAAAGGGUGCGUAGGCGGUUUGAUAAGUCAGCGGUGAAAUAUUUCAGCUUAACUGGAAGGGUGCCGUUGAUACUGUCGAGCUUGAAUUUAGUUGCUGUGGGUGGAAUGUGUGGUGUAGCGGUGAAAUGCAUAGAUAUCACACAGAAUAUCGAUUGCGAAGGCAGCUCACAAAGCUAAUAUUGACGCUGAUGCACGAAGUGUGGGGAUCAAACAGGAUUAGAUACCCUGGUAGUCCACACUGUAAACGAUGAUAACUCGCUGUCGGCGAUACACCGUCGGUGGCCAAGCGAAAGCGAUAAGUUAUCCACCUGGGGAGUACGACCGCAAGGUUGAAACUCAAAGGAAUUGACGGGGGCCCGCACAAGCGGAGGAACAUGUGGUUUAAUUCGAUGAUACGCGAGGAACCUUACCCGGGCUCGAACGGUGCAUGAAUGAUUCAGAGAUGGAUUAGUCCUUCGGGACAUGUAUCGAGGUGCUGCAUGGUUGUCGUCAGCUCGUGCCGUGAGGUGUCGGCUUAAGUGCCAUAACGAGCGCAACCCUUGUCGUUAGUUGCCAUCAGGUAAUGCUGGGAACUCUAGCGAGACUGCCACCGUAAGGUGCGAGGAAGGGGGGGAUGACGUCAAAUCAGCACGGCCCUUACGUCCGGGGCGACACACGUGUUACAAUGGCAGGUACAGAGGGCAGCUACCCAGCGAUGGGGUGCGAAUCUCGAAAGCCUGUCUCAGUUCGGAUCGGAGUCUGCAGCUCGACUCCGUGAAGUUGGAUUCGCUAGUAAUCGCGCAUCAGCCAUGGCGCGGUGAAUACGUUCCCGGGCCUUGUACACACCGCCCGUCAAGCCAUGGAAGCUGGGGGUGCCUGAAGUUCGUUACCGCAAGGAGCGACCUAGGGCAAAACUGGUAACUGGGGCUAAGUCGUAACAAGGUAACC